AUAAAUACAAUAUACAAAAUAAAUACACUGCAGAAAACCACCCACCCACAAAUUGCUGUAUGCAUCAUUUCUGAAACACAUAAUAUAUAUAAAAGUACAUCAUAUACAUUGAUUAUGGUGUUUUCAGCUCUAAGUAACAGAAAAACUUAACUUUGUAAAGUGCCAGAUAGUAACUGUCGCAGGCUCUGUUGAGCCAUACGGUCUCUGUCAGAACUACUCAACUCUGUUCUUGUAGUGCUAAAGGCAGCCUCAGGCAAAACAGAGACAAAUGGUUUUUAUUAGUGUUCUAAUAAAACUUUAUUUGUGGACACUGAAAUUUGAAUAUACUUUUCACGUGUUGCAAAAUAUUCCUUAUUUUUUUCCACCCACUUAGAAAUGCAAAACCAUUCUUGGCUUGUAGGAUACAAACACGGGCUUUGGGUCACAUCUGAAUAUCUGAAUCCUUUGUUGGAAAAUGCACAACCAAGCCAAACCAAGGCACUACAGCAAUAAAGUGAGUGGUGAAUGUUGGUAGCCAACUUUUUUUCCAGCAUAAUUCAAGAAAUACAAAUUAUAAUGAUAAUAGUAUCUAACAUAUGCUUUUCUUGUGUCUCAGACACUAUUCUAAGUGCUCUAAAAAUAUUAACUCAUUUCUAUGUCAAAGCAAUCCUACCAUUAUCACUUCUCGUUUAUAGAAAAGGAAACAGAGGCACAGAGAGGUUAAGUGGCAUGCCCCAUGCUGGAAUUUGAGCCACGGCAGUAAGAGUCCAGGGUCCACAUCUCUUAACCACUACCAUGUUGCUUCUGCUAUGAAGAAAAAGGCAGUGAAGAACAUUCUUAAGACACUCAUACAAAAUUCUAAGGCAGAUAGCUCUGCCCCCUGCUAAAACAUCAACAGUAAGAUAAAUACUACUUCUUUACGUAGUGUUAUGUUUUAAGUGUUUUCAAAAAUAAUUUCAGUCUUUUCUUACGAAUAAAUGUGUCCCUAAUGUAAGACUCAGCUGACCUUUCUGAAGGAUUGGUUCAGUAAUGUCUGUAUUCAUUUAAAAAUGCAAGGAAAUAGAAAAAGAUGCAUUAAAUUUUAAAAGAAUAUUACAUUUAAAAUACACAUUAGAGUAACAACAGGAAUCGAUGCCGAGACAUAACGUGAAAUAUCUUCACAUACGUGAAAACUCCUGAACCAAGGCUACAUAUUUCCCUAUGUACAAUUAUGGAUGGGAUCCACGUGCACAUAAACAUCCACAACCUGUCUUGUAGUGCGCUGACACACAUUAGUUCUACAUACUAAAGGAUUCUUCACAUGUGUGUAAGGAUAUCAUCUGGUUUUUUCAAUGUGUUUGUGCUUUUUAAAAAGCUUCAAAUAUCUAGACAUUGAUAGGUUUCUUAAAAACAAAACCCAAAAAACAAAGAAAACCCCUCAGAAUCCAACUGCUGCAACAUGACUUCUGGUGUAACUGUUACCCUCACUCAGUACAGAUUCUCUUUGAAUUUUUGUCAAGGAACUUUCACAUAUUUGAAAUGUCUGCAAAGGUUCUAUCCCAGCAUCACAGAUCUGAGGUUCACUGAAACAUCACUUCCCGAUAAAGGCUUCUGUAUCCGUUGCAGUCUGUGCAGUUACACCUUCGAGUGCUCCAAGUCCACCUGGUGUCAAAGGUCUCUGAAUGCUCGGGAAGGAUACUGAUAGGAGCUUCUCACUCAGGACACCUGAUUUCAGCUGCUUGUUUUCUGAUUGCCUUCACUACCAAGGACACAAGGGAUUCCACUUCUUUUCCUCUGUGUUGCUGACUGCUUGAAGCUGCUGUCUGCGUUCCUGCACACAUUCGAAGUCCCUUCCUUUUUACUCCCAGUGCCAGUCCUUGGAUCCCACAGUCUCAGACCUCUCCUGCAUCUCCCCAGUCAGGGAAAUCCAUAAAAGAAAACUGGAAAACAAGAAAAAAUCCACUGGGCUGGAGGAGACAGAGUUGAAUUUUGUUCACACUGUGAAGUGACUGUGGAACAUAUAGCUGGAACUGUCUAUUCUGAUGGAUAUACAUGUAAGUAAAUUUCCACAAAUAAUAUUGUCAUAUUUAAAAAACAGGGUUCCAGAAGAGUCAAAAAAGAAGUCUGAAAGCAACAACAUUCAAGAUAAUGGUAGGAGAAACUAGGCCAAGACCGAAGUCUGACAGAACUCUAAAUAUACGGGCAGGUCAGGAGGAGAGUGCUUAGGAGGCCAAAGAAAGACAGAUUCACAGCUAAUGGGCAGUUCUAGUUCAAAAUCCAAAUAUAAAAGUCCAAGGUAGUGUAACUUGGUAAGUGCACUCCAAAAGAAGAUAUAUGGGUAGCAAAUAAGCACAUUAAAACA